UUCGGUGUAAAAACAAUCGCGAUAAAACAGUAAAGAGGAAUUCUCAUUACAUUUCAUAAAGGUGAGCAAACUUUGCUACCAAGCAUCGCUCAUCAACAAGUGUGGCUGGCUAAUAUCCAGAGGGCACACAGGACCAUAUCUAUAUGUCACGGGUUUACGCCGAUCAUCACUUCAUUUACGAUGCAGAUGUAUAUCUAUGGAGCAGAAGUGCAGAACUCGUAAUUCUGUCGCACAGCUCUUAAAAAGAAGACAAGUGAAGUGACACCAUGAUGGAAGAAUAGGACAAAGAACAAAGUGAAGCUAAGUGUUGAAGACUCUCCCCUAUCAUUAAAAUGUGUUCGCUGUUGCUACAGAUUUGCUAUAAAAGCCGCUAAGAACAUUCUGCAUGUGGAGGAGUGGAGAAGAUAGGUGGCUGAUGGUGCCAGUCAAAUUUCAGGGGAGGAGUAGGGAUCUUUUAAUGAUUCUCCCAGGAGACCAGAAGGGACAGACUGAAGAGCCGGACCAGUGAUGGGUAUGAGAUGCUGGAGGCAAAGAGUUGCCAUGGGACCCAUUGACUACUUCUCUCACUGAUGACCUCAUUGACCAACCUGUCAAUGUCAGUGGAUGACUUUGAUUUG